rnacentral:rRNA from 1 species
GGGUAAUUGGGAGACAGAGGCGGCGGAAAUACGAAGGGGGGAAGGGGUAAUCGGAAUGCCUGGGGGUAAAGGUCGCGUAGGGGGUUCAGUAAGUUGGAAGUGAAAUCCCCGGGCUCAACCUGGGAACUGCGUUCAAAACUGCUGAGCGAGAGUACGGUAGAGGGUGGUGGAAUUUCCUGUGUAGCGGUGAAAUGCGUAGAUAUAGGAAGGAACACCAGUGGCGAAGGCGACCACCUGGACUGAUACUGACACUGAGGUGCGAAAGCGUGGGGAGCAAACAGGAUUAGAUACCCCAGUAUC